rnacentral:rRNA from 1 species
AACGAACGCUGGCGGCAUGCCUAACACAUGCAAGUCGAACGAGACCUUCGGGUCUAGUGGCGCACGGGUGCGUAACGCGUGGGAAUCUGCCCUUGGGUUCGGAAUAACAGUUGGAAACGACUGCUAAUACCGGAUGAUGACGUAAGUCCAAAGAUUUAUCGCCCAGGGAUGAGCCCGCGUAGGAUUAGCUAGUUGGUGGGGUAAAGGCCUACCAAGGCGACGAUCCUUAGCUGGUCUGAGAGGAUGAUCAGCCACGCUGGGACUGAGACACGGCCCAGACUCCUACGGGAGGCAGCAGUGGGGAAUAUUGGACGAUGGGCGAAAGCCUGAUCCAGCCAUGCCGCGUGAGUGAUGAAGGCCUUAGGGUUGUAAAACUCUUUUACCCGGGAUGAUAAUGACAGUACCGGGAGAAUAAGCCCCGGCUAACUCCGUG